rnacentral:rRNA from 1 species
CGUGGGUAACCUGCCCAAGAGAUCGGGAUAACACCUGGAAACAGAUGCUAAUACCGGAUAAUAACAGAUGAUGCCUAUCAACUGUUUAAAAGAUGGUUCUGCUAUCACUCUUGGAUGGACCUGCGGUGCAUUAGCUAGUUGGUAGGGUAACGGCCUACCAAGGCGAUGGUGCAUAGCCGAGUUGAGAGACUGAUCGGCCACAUUGGGACUGAGACACGGCCCAAACUCCUACGGGAGGCAGCAGGC